rnacentral:lncRNA from 1 species
AUUCAGAACUGUAAUGUCAGUAUAUUUUUUUCAGGCAGGUAUGAAUGUGAUUAAAACUUAUCAUGCACUGGUAAUAAAUACUGUGAAAGAAAGAAAUAAAAAAUGGCCACAUUUAAGUGACCUAAAGGGAUUAAAAGUCACUUUUUCUCUCUUAGCUUUUGAGAAUUAUUUUUGAUCAGAGCACAACAAAUCUUGAGUUCCAAGGUACUGGAGUGAUUGGUGUCAUGUAUUUUUGAUGCAAUUACACCAGGAACCACAAAAAAGGAUAUUUAGUCUUCUUGCUUACCUACUUUUAAGUCCCAGUAUAAUGCCAGAUUUAAUGAAGAAGUGAUGGUAAUUUACCUGGAGAUAGACUCUUUGGGAUUUUCAAUUACCACUAACUACCCUGACUUCUGUUAUAUACCUAUUUCUUUUGGGGAUAAGAUGGGAAGGAAAAGAAGGGAGUGUGUUACAUAGAGCAGGGAAGAGCUCCUAGACUUCACCCCCAUUCUCUAUGUGACUUAAGGGGCAACUUCAGCAAGCUGAGAAUUUUCAAGAUUCUAACUUCAGGCCAGCACACCCCAAAACAUGGAGGUUAUUACUCCACUCCUCAUAGUCCACAAUUUCCUCUGCUAGUUCAAUGUUGAUGUCCUAAGGAAAUGAAUCAUGCCCUUGGGUAGAGUGAUAACAUCAACUCCACCUCUUCCACUUUAAGUAAAUAAUAUGCUAUAGAAUUUCAUAUUUGGAAGGGAUCUUAGAGGUUGUCAAUAACCCAAUAAAUUGUAUUGUCAACUAAAAUUGAUAAGAUAAACUAGUCCUUCCUGAUAAAAAUUAUCCAUCUUUGUUUAAUGGGAAACUGGAUACUCUGAGGAUACCCCAUCCCAUUUAAAGCAAGUCUGCCUCUGUCCAGUAAUUAUAUAAGCAUUUUAAUUAGUUAAAAAAUUUUGAAUUGUAGAAUCUUAUAAUUUUGUAGCUGGAAAGGGUAGUCGGAAUCAACUAUUCCAAUUGCCUCUUCUUACAGAUGAGAUGACUGAGAUCCAGAGGAAUACAUUUACUUCUUAAAGUUACAAGGUAGUUAAGAGAGCCUGUAUUAGAACUGGUCUCCUGACUUGUAGCUCAGUGCCCCUUGCUGAAGUCCCCAUUUCUCAUAUCUUUUCCAAUUAUGCAGCAUUCCCUGUUAUCCAAUUUUUAAAAAAAGAAUUAAGAAUUCUUUGUUAUGAGGGGUGGCUUUCUGGGAGAGGACAGAGCGAGGAAUAUUUGCAAGUGGUA